GCCAACUCUAGCUCAGUCAGUGGAGCAUCAGACUCAAUCUCAGAGUCAUGGGUUUGAGCCCCAUGUUGGGCA